CCCCUCCCGGGGUCGCACCUGGAGAGUCUCCAGUCCUCUACCAGUCUCGACUACGGGAGGGAGAAUCAAGCAGAGGCCUGUCCAUUCCACUCCUAGUUUGGCCAGUGGCUGGAGAGUGGCAGGCCGUCUGCUACAAGU